GAUGAAGAACGUAGCGAAAUGCGAUAAGUAAUGUGAAUUGCAGAAUUCAGUGAAUCAUCGAAUCUUUGAACGCACAUUGCGCCCCCUGGAAUUCCGGGGGGCAUGCCUGUUCGAGCGCCUCAGGGACGAACCCUCGCGCGGGUGUACGCGCGGUCGUGGCUGCGGUGGCGUGCCCGAGGCGGCGGCCACCGCGCUGGAAUCCAUGGGCGGACGCCUGCCGCGUGGCCGAGCGUGAUAUGACGCAUUGGCGCUCGCACGCGGCGAGGCUGCCAGCCCUGGCCCGUCUGUCGGGCGGGGGAGAGCAAGACACGUGAACUCCUCGAAUCAGGUAGGGAUACCCGCUGAACUUAAGCAUAUCAAUAAGCGGAGGA
rnacentral:misc_RNA from 1 species